AAUGAACGCUGGCGGCGUGCUUAACACAUGCAAGUCGAUCGGUAACAGGUGUAGCAAUACAUGCUGACGAGAGGCGGACGGGUGAGGAACGCUUGGGAAUCUGCCCAUCAGCGGGGGACAACCCGGGGAAACCCGGGCUAAUACCGCAUACGCUCCACGGAGGAAAGCCGGGGACCGCAAGGCCUGGCACUGAUGGAUGAGCCCAAGUCGGAUUAGCUAGUUGGCGGGGUAACGGCCCACCAAGGCGACGAUCCGUAGCUGGUCUGAGAGGACGAUCAGCCACACUGGGACUGAGACACGGCCCAGACUCCUACGGGAGGCAGCAGUGGGGAAUAUUGGACAAUGGGGGAAACCCUGAUCCAGCGACGCCGCGUGGGUGAAGAAGGCCUGCGGGUUGUAAAGCCCUUUCGGUAGGGACGAAAGCUCUCGACCUAACACGUCGGGAGGUUGACUUAACCUACAAAAGAGGCACCGGCUAACUCUGUGCCAGCAGCCGCAGUAACAC
rnacentral:rRNA from 1 species